rnacentral:rRNA from 1 species
UACAGAGGUGGCAAGCGUUGUUCGGAAUUACUGGGCGUAAAGGGCGCGUAGGCGCCUACUAAGUCAGACGUGAAAUCCCCCGGCUUAACCUGGGAACUGCGUCUGAUACUGGAAGGCUUGAGGAUGGGAGAGGGAUGUAGAAUUCCAGGUGUGCGGUGAAUGCGUAGAUAUCUGGAAGGAAUACCGGUGGCGAAGGCGGCAUCCUGGACCU